rnacentral:rRNA from 1 species
AUUGAACGCUGGCGGCAGGCCUAACACAUGCAAGUCGAGCGGAGCGGCGGACGGGUGAGUAAUGCCUAGGAAUCUGCCUGGUAGUGGGGGAUAACGUCCGGAAACGGGAGCUAAUACUGCAUACUAUCAGCUGCUCCUCGGUCGUAUUAGCUAGUUGGUGGGGUACAGGCCUACCAAGGCAACGAUCCGUAACUGGUCUGAGAGGAUGAUCAGUCACACUGGAACUGAGACACGGUCCAGACUCCUACGGGAGGCAGCAGUGGGGAAUAUUGGACAAUGGGCGAAAGCCUGAGCCAGCCAUGCCGCGUGUGUGAAGAAGGUCUUCGGAUUGUAAAGCACUUUAAGUUGGGAGGCGUUACCAACAGAAUAAGCACCGACUAACUUCGUGCCAGCCGCCGCGGUAAUUC